AUUGAACGCUGGCGGCAGGCCUAACACAUGCAAGUCGAACGAGUGGCGGACGGGUGAGUAAUGUCUGGGGAACUGCCUGAUAGAGGGGGAUAACUACUGGAAACGGUAGCUAAUACCGCAUACCAUCGGAUGUGCCCAGCGGGGAUUAGCUGGUUGGUGGGGUAACGGCUCACCAAGGCGACGAUCCCUAGCUGGUCUGAGAGGAUGACCAGCCACACUGGACCUGAGACACGGCCCAGACUCCUACGGGAGGCAGCAGUGGGGAAUAUUGCACAAUGGGCGCAAGCCUGAUGCAGCCAUGCCGCGUGUAUGAAGAAGGCCUUCGGGUUGUAAAGUACUUUCAGCGGGGAGGCGUUACCCGCAGAAGAAGCACCGGCUAACUCCGUGCCAGCAGCCGCGGUAAUAC
rnacentral:rRNA from 1 species